rnacentral:rRNA from 1 species
GAUGCCGACGGGGCCGACCGAGAACAGCGGCACGGUCGAUAGCGGCGACGCGUUCAUCGCCGCGCUCCCGUCAACGCGGCCGCGCGGCGGACCGCGAUCGCCCGCGCGGCGAAAAACCCCGCGGAGCCCGCAACGAGCAUGCCGAAGCCCGCCCGCGCCAGCACGACGAGCACCGCCACCGCGAGCGCGACGCGCGCGAACUGCAGCGCGAGCGCCACGCCCGCGCGGCCCGCGACGAACAGCCGGCUGUUCCAGCCGAGCGACACGAAAUGGCACGCGCCGGCGGCGAACCCGAGCGCGAGCCCGAUCGCGGCGGCGAUGCCGUCGAACGACGCGCGCGCGGUUUCCCACAUCUCAAUCAUCGCGAUCUCCAUGCUGUUGAGCUUUCAUCCAGCGCCACGCGAGCCAGAGGCCGAGCGCCGCGCCGAGCAUCAGGAGCGGCGCGGAAAAAAACACCCGCGUCGCGAACAUCCGGUCGAGCCAGCGGCCGAGCGCGAGCGCGGCGAGCGUCGGCGCGACGAUCGUCCAGCCGAGCACGCCGAUCUGCGCGAGCCGCCGGCCGAGCGACGGCUCCGGAUCGCGCGCGCCGCGCGCCGCGCGCGCCGCGGCCGUGUGCGCGGCCCGCUCGACGCGAUCGGCGGCGGGCUUCGGCGCGGCGGGCUCGGCGGCUCGCGCGGCCGGAUGCGUUGCGCCGCCGCGCGCGGCGCGCGAGCCGGGCGACGGGUCGCGCCGCGCGGCGCCGCGUGGGUCAUCCGGCGCGGCGCCGGCGCCGGCGUGCCGCGCGUCGCCGCGCGCGGCAUCGUCGCGCGCCUCGCGCUUCACCUCGGGCGGCCUGCGCUUCAUCAUUCGAGCGUCUCCGGCUUCAGCGGCGCGUGCACGCCGUCCUUCGCGUGCUCGGGCCGCAGAUACGUGAGCAGCCGCCGCACCGCCUGCGCAUGCAGCCGCGUCUCGUCGACGCGCGCGCGGCGCUUCUCGUCGAGCUGCGUCGCGCGCACGCCGCGCACCACCGCCUCGAGCUCGGCGAGCGACUCGCCCAGCACCGCGUCGCGGCACGCGAUCUCGAUGCGCGCGCCGCGCGUCACGCGCAGCACGCCGCCGUCAAGCGCCGCGUAAUGCGUCGCGCCGUCGGCGGUGCGCCAGCGCACGACUGACGCGCGCAGCAGCGUGACGAAAUCGACGUGGCCCGCGCGGAUGCCGAACGCGCCGCUCGCGUCCUCGGCGCGCAGCGACACGAUCGGCAGAUCGUCGACGCACACGCGCGCCGGCGUCGCGAUCGUCACGCGCAGCUCAGCGCCCAUGCCGCGCGCCUUGCGGCUCGGCGGAGCCGGAUGCGGGGUCGGAUGUCGUGCCCGGUCCCGCGCCCGACGCCGCGGCAGCCGCCUCGCGGCGCGCG